ensembl:rRNA 5S_rRNA 5S ribosomal RNA
AUGUAUGGCUGUACCACCCUAAAUGCGUCUGGUCUGUCUGAUCUUAGAAGCUAAGUAGGGUGGGAGUUUUCCUUUCUAUAGUAAUCCAGAUAUU